GGUAAAAUGGCUGAGUGUAAAGCGGUGGUUUGUAGCUCCACGGACAGAGGUUCAAGCCCUCUUUUUGCCA
rnacentral:tRNA from 1 species